rnacentral:rRNA from 1 species
AUGGGGUAUGCAGAGACUGUAGGUGGGUCGGGCAGCCCUGUUCGUGUUGACUCUGAAGAUUCAUCUGCGCCAAAAUGCAAGUGCAUCAGCCUUAAUAGCGAUGGCUUUGAUGUGAAGCAAGAGAUCUUUGUCCCGUCUAAGUUGUCGUCGUCUGAGCGGCGCUACCUUCGAAAGAGAUUCCGGGCAGAAUAA